UUCAACUGAAGAGUUUGAUCAUGGCUCAGAUUGAACGCUGGCGGCAGGCCUAACACAUGCAAGUCGAGCGGAAACGAUCCUAGCUUGCUAGGAGGCGUCGAGCGGCGGACGGGUGAGUAAUGCAUAGGAAUCUACC
rnacentral:rRNA from 1 species